rnacentral:rRNA from 1 species
GAUGAACGCUGGCGGCGUGCCUAAUACAUGCAAGUCGAGCGAAGCGGGGACGGGUAAGUAACACGUGGAUAACCUCCUAUAAGACUGGGAUAACUUCGGGAAACCUGAUCUCAACCGGAUACUUGGAGAUGUUUCUGCGCUGGAUUAGCUAGUUGGUACGGUAACGGCUUACCAAGGCAACGAUGCAUAGCCGACCUGAGAGGGUGAUCGGCAAACCUGGAACUGAGACACGGUCCAGACUCCUACGGCAGGCAGCAGUAGGGAAUCUUCCGCAAUGGGCGAAAGCCUGACGGAGCAACGCCGCGUGAGUGAUGAAGGUCUUCGGAUCGUAAAACUCUGUUAUUAGGGAAGCGGUACCUAAGCAGAAAGCCACGGCUAACUACGUGCCAGCCGCCGCGGUAAUAC